UCCCUGGUAGUAUAUCGGUUAGUACACGCGCCUGUCAUCCGUUGCGCCAUAUGGCAUGGUUGUGUCCGCGCGAAAGCGGGGUUCGACUCCCCGCCAGGGAG